rnacentral:piRNA from 1 species
UAAGCUUGCGCUCCACCUUUU